ensembl:lncRNA
GAGGGGUUGGGACGAUGCGAGUGUAUAUGCGCACCGUCUCUACGUCUCUUCCAACGCGUUCAUCUGGCUAGAGCAGAAGAGUCGGAGUUACCAAUCCUCCAACUAUUCAGACGUCGCUCCUGGUUCGCAAGGCAUCUUUCUCAACCGAAUCUAAUGUUAGAAAGACAAUAAUACGACACCGACCUUGAAGGGCCAAUAGCACUCUAAAUUCCUGAAUGUUUAGGUAUUCGGUUGAACGCAGGUAAGUUUUACAACCGUCAGUAAGAUAUGGGUCGCGUUCAGGCGCACCGUUUCCACCUCUUCUCAAACAGUACAGAGGCGGGGUUUCUGCAACGUCUUUGUUACCGUAUGAGGACGCGCACUGGUAAAUUAGCAUUCAGCGUGCUUCAACCUGAGUCACCAGCUCUGCAUGAACCAGUUGCUGCACGUUUCCGGAGUACAGACUGUGGUGUGUGUGUGUGUGUGUGUGUAUGUGUGUGUGUGUGUGUGUGUGUGUGAGAGAGAGAGAGAGAGAGAGAGAGAGAGAGAGAAUUUCCGGAAUCGCCUCUAAAGACAUCAGUACACCGCCAUAGGGAAAACAACAGUCUACACCUCCACAAGGAAGUAAAAAAUUUGGACCUCGUCGUCGAUAAGCGAACGAGAAAUCAUCAGAACGGCAAUGGACUUUUUAAUUCAUUUUCUCUGAUGCCACUUAUACCUCUGCAUAUAUUUGGAGCUUCUUGUAGCCUAUACAAACUAGCGCGACGGAAUUUAAAACCAAGCUUCAUUCAUGUGACUGCUGUUUGUUUCGACUGCUGUCCAUACACCUGUGCUGGAUUUGUCGGUCAUGGUGGACUGCGUCUUUGUAUUAUGGCCCGAGUUCAGACUACAAGCAGUGUCUCAUCUUGUGACGGCAGAAGAGUCGAAGUUGCUGCUGAAUUUGCACACAAUCAUAAGACGCUUCUCGCUAUGAGGAUGUGGACGGCACGUCGCGCAGCGGUGACUUUUUAGUUGAUUUUUUUUAUUAGUGGCAGGUUUAGUGCAGCUCAUAUGCUUAUGGUAUUUUCAGGUGAGAAACUUUGGAGGAUAUUAAUUUCAGUCGGUGGAGGAUGAUGUGACAGACCGCUCAACGCCGACUUCAGUAACUCGCAGAUCAAGUAAACCACCGCUAGCACAAUCCUUAGUUCUGGCGGUGGUUUACUUGAUCUGCGGGUAACUGCAGUAACUCCUCCCAGUAGCAUUUCUCCUCCUCAUACCAUUGACUUGAAUAGAAUUUCCGAAACUCAAUGGGAGGGGCGGAGAAAAUGAAACCCAAAUGAGAGCUUUAAAAAUGAGAGCACUACAGGGUUUUACUGCCUGUUCUCUAGUGGACAGUGCACUGUCAACAUCUCCCAAUCACUAUCUUGAAAACAAAGACGAAGCUGUACGAGAUAACCAGCGACGCUGGAAAAUCACAACGGAUCUGCAAGAGAAAUGGAAGAGCGGAAAGAGAAACGAUAACAGACCGGCUCAGAAAAAUCGGAGGGGAAAGAGAAACAGUAACAGACCGGCUCUGAAAAAUCGGAGCGGAAAGAGAAACGGUAACAGACCGGCUCUGAAAAAUUGGAGCGGAAAGAGAAACGGUAACAGACCGGCUCUGAAAAAUCGGAGCGGAAAGAGGAACGGUCAGCUGGAUAGUUGCUGGAAACGACAUCGAAAUGGCUGCAACUCAAACCAUCUGUGAUGGUGUAUGCACUGCAGCACUCAGCUGUCUGCCUGCGAUCUGCCAGAUGUUCACUACCGUCUGUGCAUGUGGAGAAGAGAGUCAUGAUGGCGAUGCAGUGACAGAGGGCUCAGCAGAGUCAGAAGAAGGUCUGUUGAUUUACAUUUGAUAUUACAUUUGAGUAAUUUUGUUGUAGUAAUUAUACGCAUGGAUAUGCAGUAUUGUCAAAUGAAGUUCUUUAUAUCAAUUUUUUUAACUAAAAUGUCUUAUUAAAAGUCCAGUUUCUCUGUUCCUAGGUGUUAAACUCUCAGUGGAGGAGACUGAACCAGCAGGGACCCAAAGCUCAGUGCAUCCCUUCUUCUCCACACAGCCAUGAAAGACAUCAUCUGUUAUAACAGGAAAUGAGAAAAAUCAUAUCUCCCAAGUCCAGUAGGAUACAAUGGACUACUUGCACAAACUCUUCUACAUAUAUGACCACCACCAUCACCACCACUGUCAUCAAAACCACCACCAUCACCACCACCAUCAUCAAAACCACCACCACCAUCACCACCAUCAUCAAAACCACCACCACCAUCACCACCAUCAUCACCAUCACUACCAUCACCACCAUCAUCACCAUAAACACCAUAACCACCACCAUCACCACCACCACCACUAUCAUCACCAUCACCACCACCACCAUCACCAUCACCACCACAAAAUCACUGGGAAGCUUUCCGUGAAGAUUAAAGCUGAUGCUGCAAUGAGAAACACUGCAGUGCUCAUGAUAUUUCUUCAGUUCUCAUUGAAAAUAUUCGUUUUUAAACACUUUGUGGUGGACACUCAUUUUGAUCACAUUACAAAGGAAAAUAAGCAGUACUGACAAAUGUAAACAAUGAUACCAGAGACACAACAUAUUUUUGUGCUUGUAAUUGUAUAUAUUUUCUGUCAAGUGUAUAUCUAGUUUUUUUUUAAGAUGUUAAAUUAAAUAAAAAUAUAUUUAUAGACUUUCCCAGUGG